GAGUUUGAUUCUGGCUCAGAUUGAACGCUGGCGGCAUGCUUUACACAUGCAAGUCGAACGGCAGCACAAGGAGCUUGCUCCUGGGUGGCGAGUGGCGAACGGGUGAGUAAUGUAUCGGAACGUGCCUGGUAGUGGGGGAUAACCACUCGAAAGAGUGGCUAAUACCGCAUGAGAUCUCUGGAUGAAAGCGGGGGACCUUUGGGCCUCGCGCUAUCGGAGCGGCCGAUAUCAGAUUAGGUUGUUGGUGGGGUAAAGGCCUACCAAGCCUGCGAUCUGUAGCUGGUCUGAGAGGACGACCAGCCACACUGGGACUGAGACACGGCCCAGACUCCUACGGGAGGCAGCAGUGGGGAAUUUUGGACAAUGGGCGCAAGCCUGAUCCAGCAAUGCCGCGUGCAGGACGAAGGCCCUCGGGUUGUAAACUGCUUUUGUACAGAACGAAAAGUCUCUGGCUAAUACCUGGGGAACAUGACGGUACU
rnacentral:rRNA from 1 species